rnacentral:tRNA from 1 species
GGGUUUGUGGCUCAGUGGUAGAGUGCUUGCCUGGCAUGUGUGAGGCACUGGGUUCAAUUCUCAGCACCA